rnacentral:rRNA from 1 species
AAUGAACGCUGGCGGCAGGCCUAACACAUGCAAGUCGAACGGGUCCUUCGGGACUAGUGGCGGACGGGUGAGUAACGCGUGGGAACGUGCCCUUUGCUACGGAAUAGCCCCGGGAAACUGGGGGUAAUACCGUAUAAGCCCUACGGGGGAAAGAUUUAUCGGCAAAGGAUCGGCCCGCGUUGGAUUAGGUAGUUGGUGGGGUAAUGGCCUACCAAGCCGACGAUCCAUAGCUGGUUUGAGAGGAUGAUCAGCCACACUGGGACUGAGACACGGCCCAGACUCCUACGGGAGGCAGCAGUGGGGAAUCUUAGACAAUGGGGGAAACCCUGAUCUAGCCAUGCCGCGUGAUCGAUGAAGGCCUUAGGGUUGUAAAGAUCUUUCAGGUGGGAAGAUAAUGACUGUACCACCAGAAGAAGCCCCGGCUAACUCCGUGCCAGCCGCCGCAGUAA